UACGAAGGGGGGCUAGCGUUGUUCGGAUUUACUGGGCGUAAAGCGCACGUAGGCGGAUCGUUAAGUUGGGGGUGAAAUCCUGGAGCUCAACUCCAGAACUGCCUUCAAUACUGGCGAUCUAGAGUCCGGAAGAGGUGAGUGGAACUCCUAGUGUAGAGGUGGAAUUCGUAGAUAUUAGGAAGAACACCAGUGGCGAAGGCGGCUCACUGGUCCGGUACUGACGCUGAGGUGCGAAAGCGUGGGGAGCAAACAGG
rnacentral:rRNA from 1 species